AGGUUGAAGGUGCAGCAAGUGAAGAUGGAAGGAUGCCAAGCAUAUGGGAUAUCUUCGCCCAUGUUGGAAAUGCUUUGCUUCACAUACUUUUGUGUUGGGUUCUUGUUUUCAAAUCUAGGCUUGGAAGCAAAGCUUACAGAGCCUUCGAUCUCGAAAACAUGAUUUCGAUAUUGGGUUCCAUGGAAGAUGGAGAGAUAAGCAUAUCUGCUUAUGACACAGUUUAGGCAUAAAAUCUAUGAAGCAGAAGGCAUUGUCUACUGUGACAGGAGUGGAAGAAGUGAAUGCAGAUAGUAAGACAAGUAAAGUAGUAGUGUUAAAGAAGCGCAGGCUUGAUGAGUAACCAUCUAAACACCAAAUACCAUGCUUUGGUUUCCAUUCUUUGUCAUUGGUUCAAAUGGAAAUUCAAUUGCCUUGUUCCAAGUGCUGUUUGAUUAUGAGAUUUACCAAAGUCAAUUCAUUAAUGAUUAUAACAAAUCUAUUUGCUCACAUUCGAAUCUGAUGUCAGUUUGAGUUACUUGCAAAAGUAAGUCACGUUGUA